rfam:Ixodes scapularis strain Wikel colony gcontig_1107728642054, whole genome shotgun sequence.
AAUCGCCAAAAAGAUGUACGAAAUUGCGUUCAUUGUCCCUUUAACACGGGAAAACUUACCCGGCCCAGACACUGGUUAACAGAUUGAGAGCUCUUUCUUGAUUCGGUGGAUGGUGGUGCAUGGCCGUUCUUAGUUGGUGGAGCGAUUUGUCUGGGUAAUUCCGAUAACGAACGAGACUCAAGCCUAUUAAAUAGGUGCGUGGCUCUCUGCACCUUGCAUUCUUCUUAGAGGGACAAGCAGCUCCUAGCAGCACGAAACAGCAAUAACAGGUCUGUGAUGCCCUUAGAUGUCCGGGGCCGUACGUGCACUACACUGAAGGAAGCAGAGUGUUUUUAUCCCUGUCUGUAAAGACUGGGCAACCCGUGGAAGCUCCUUCGUGAUUGGGAUAGGGGCUUGCAAUUGUUUCCCUUGAACGAGAACUUUCCAGUAAGCGCGAGUCAUAAGCUCGCGUUGAUUACGUUCCUGUCCUUUG